UUUAGACUAAAAGCUACAGUGUAGAAAAAGUAGUUGGAAAGCAUGGCUUUAGUGUGUGCGUUAUAAAAUAAACAUCAACACAUUAAAAAAAGGUCUCUGGAGUCAUCAGCCUGUAGUUUGGUCUAUCAGGUCCUUUUCAGCAGUUUGAUAUCUUCAUUGGUGGAAUUGUGGAUGAAACCAUCAAACAAAAUAUUUAAUUUACUAAUGAAACUAUACAUAUAAAAAAGCAAUGCUUAACUAUAUUUAAAUAACCAUCCUUACAAAUUGUUAAGUACAAAUAAGAAAAAAGAUGAUAAUAUUGCCCUGUUAACAUUUUAAAUUUACUUUAAAUACAUAAAAAUGAAAGAUGUAUUUUAACGAAUUCAUUCAAGAGGCGGCACGUCAGGAUCAUCCACAAAAGAAUCGUUUUUAUCAUUGGGACGGAUUGUGAGGAAGUUUUGCAGGUUGAAUUCCUCCUUUUCGUGUACAUCAAGAAAUUCUCUAAAAUUAUUCAAAAUUGUCCACAGCAGGAGAAGGGCCAAUGUACGGUUUGAGCUAACAACGUAAAAUAAAGAAGUAUGUUUUACUCGGUCCUAUUAACCAAAGCAAUGAUUUUUAUUGAUUUAUUUUUUACGCAAAAUAUGGCUGAGUGGAAAAAUUAGUGUCAUGAGCAGGA